GACAGAGGGUGCAAGCGUUGUUCGGAAUUAUUGGGCGUAAAGAGCUCGUAGGCGGUCUGUCGCGUCUGCUGUGAAAACUCGGGGCUUAACCCCGGGCCUGCAGUGGGUACGGGCAGACUAGAGUGCGGUAGGGGAGACUGGAAUUCCUGGUGUAGCGGUGAAAUGCGCAGAUAUCAGGAGGAACACCGGUGGCGAAGGCGGGUCUCUGGGCCGUAACUGACGCUGAGGAGCGAAAGCGUGGGGAGCGAACAGG
rnacentral:rRNA from 1 species